UACGAAGGGGGCUAGCGUUGCUCGGAAUCACUGGGCGUAAAGGGUGCGUAGGCGGGUCUUUAAGUCAGGGGUGAAAUCCUGGAGCUCAACUCCAGAACUGCCUUUGAUACUGAAGAUCUUGAGUUCGGGAGAGGUGAGUGGAACUGCGAGUUUAGAGGUGAAAUUCGUAGAUAUUCGCAAGAACACCAGUGGCGAAGGCGUCUCACUGGCCCGAUACUGACGCUGAGGCACGAAAGCGUGGGGAGCAAACAGG
rnacentral:rRNA from 1 species